CAGCUCCCGGGAGCAUCCUGGGAAACGUAGUUCUUGCCUGGGAGCUCGCCGGUCAGAUCCUUGGGAAGCCGAAAUCUCUCGAAAUGCUUAAUGCUGUGUCUCGGAGGCGGCUGCUGUCCUAAUGGUGCCUGCCGGAGGAAGAGGAAAGACUAGGAGACCUUGUAAAGGCGGGACAUAUUGAGCGUUUAACCCGGAGUCGGACACCUUCGUUCGUUCUAUGCCUUGACAUCAACAGCCCAAAGCAAAGCGUAGGCAGCCGCGUUAGGCCAUGAGAAAACGAGUCGUCCUGGGUCGAACUAACAGAGGAGCCUCCCACCUUCCUCUUGUUUUAACGUGGUGGGCCUCUUACCCUCCCACCAUAUGCUGUGAAAUUGGUUUGUCCUGUAUUGGACUGUGCUGUACUGUACACGCAAAAGUUAUAUGAGAGAGAGAGAGGGAGAGAGAGAUGCACAUGGACGCAUAGACACACACAGAGACGUCCUGAGGGUAAGCAGAAGAGUGCACACUUGUAAUGACUGUUCUGUCUAUUAUGCCCUUGAAUUCAUUGAGACAUAUGGACCUAAUAUAUGCAGGAUCAGGUUUUUGGCAGAAAUGUGACAAUCUUCAUCAUUUUUACUAAUGGGAGCUAGGCUGCCAAGCUUUCUCACUUAGGUCUAACAAACUACCAGGGAUCCAGGCUUUUACAUAAUCGUUUUUACUGCAGCUUCUAUGUGUUUUUACCUGUUGUAUCAUUUUUAUGCUUGUAUUUUAUAGAUUUUUAAAUUUCGUUUGUUUUAUAUUUUUUAGCUUAAUACUUUUAUUGUCUUUUUAUUGUAUGUUUUAAUUUUUGUAAACCGCCUUAGGGUUGUCUUUUAAUGAAAGGUGGAAUAUAAAUGCAACAAUAAAUAAAAUAAAAUAAAAUAAUCAUCAUCUUGUUUUGCUUAGGAGCUCCCAGAAAAACAAGCUAGAUAGAAGACCUUUGUCUGAGCCUGAAAGACAAAUCUUAAAAUCAACACAAUAUUCUAAGAGUCACCCUGUACUGUUGUUAGACCUGUGAAUAGGGAUGCAAAGCGAGUGGUUCAUAUUCAUAAUCGUGUUACUAAGAGGAUUCAUUUACUUUUUAAUAGUUUUGGGUGAUGUCUGCACAAGACAUUUCUGGGUUAUAUAAAAUCAGAGAGUUAAUGAGCACCUAAAAGAUCAUUUUUUACACCACUGCUUUUGGAUAGUUCCUUGCAGAUUUCCCCAUCUUGAACCUUCCAUAAACAGGGGUACAGAUAGAGGGAAAGGCUGAGGAGCAAUGCCUCACUAAAAUUUCUUGUGGGGGGAGAGGAAAGGCACUUCACGGGGGCAGGAAAUAUCUUUUGAGGAUUGUAAAUAUGAGUGAUUAGGUUUGGCAGAGGAGGUCAGUAAAAUGAGGGAGGGGUUUCAAAUGCUUAAGGGGGGAUCUGUACCCUGCACAAAAACACAGAUGUAUGUACUGACCCUUCUAAACCUCUCAUGAUACUUAAAGGACACCCUUAAAUAGUGAGUUUUUGGUUUGGACAUACAUACCCAAGCAAUUCUAAAUUGAAAUUAAAGUUGAAAUUGAAGUUGUGUUUUUGCUAAACCCAUGUUUUUAUA